rfam:Pichia membranifaciens NRRL Y-2026 unplaced genomic scaffold PICMEscaffold_3, whole genome shotgun sequence.
GCGUAAGUAGUUUAGUGGUAAAAUCUAACAUUCCCAUUGUUAGGCCCCGGGUUCGAUUCCCGGCUUUCGCA